GGUGAAGAAGGCGGCUGACCGAGACGCCUGUGGAGAGGUUGAUGUUCUUUUUACUGUUUUAUUUUGCCUCUGAAGACGGAUGUGUAGAUGCAGGCCGGGAGUGAAACCAGUCAGGAUAGAAAAACUCAGACUCGCUCUCGGUGGUGUCCCGUAAGGUGAAGGUUGUCGCGCUAAUAAUCGUCAGCGCUGAGCGGGAACAAUCACCAGCAGAUCUCUGGCAGAACCAGGUACUUUUCCGGCUAUGCUAACUUGAAUUUCUCUCGGUGCCCUGUUUCAUUCCGCAUUCUCCGUCCUUUAGUUCCGUCUACUAUUUCCUCUACCCCACAUUUAGUCACCUUGUGUGACGUGUCUGUGGCUCAGUGGCCUCACCUGCAGGAGAGGGAGACACCAACAGGACCAGACAGUCAACGUGAUUGUGAUAGAUGGUGAGGUUAUUACUGCUAUCUUUCCUGUGAACACUCUUUCCCAGCCUGACUUCCACUAUAUAAUUCCUGUGGAAAGCUCGGCGGAGUAGAUUCUGAAAAAAGGACACGGACAGCUUCUCUGGGAAACCGACAAAACUUUGCUUCUACAGCGAGUCGUUUUAUGCAUGGCAGCAAGGAAAAAACUUACAAAAAUCAAGGUUACACAGAUGGAGCUUGAGCACGUACCAAGUUGAUAACAGCAAGUUUACAAAGUUAAUGAGACACAUAGACUCUAUUUUCUCAGGAUCGAGAGACAAUCUGCUCUCCUCAAGGCCAGCUUGUUGUUCUCAGCACUAUUCUCAUGCAGUCCUAAAGCCGUAUAUGCAGGAAAUGUUUCUCAGGGCAAAACAUCGAGACAUGCCUGGCGGCUCUGGCCCUUCGCCAGAUCCUUGUGAGGACCUUCUCCACAAGGCAGUCACGUAGUUUCCCUCAACAAUUCCAACGCACUCCUUCUUGUACUUUUUACUAUUUCAUUUGUCUUUGAGUGGCAUUCCUGCCUUCCGAUCUAGGAUUUUAAGUUCUGUGAAGGAUGGCUGACAGACCACCUUCUCUUGCGCGACAGAUCACCUCUUGCGCUACAGACCUAGAGAUCCGGAAUAUACUCGCUUGAAGUGAACUGGUAAUAGAUUGGAAAAGAGAGCGGCACUCCCCCCGCCCGCCCCCGCGCCUCACCCGCUGGGUCAGAGCCGUCGGAACAAUUCUACUCUGGGACAUCGGUCCCCUGGUGGCCCCAGGUAGCAGUGUUUGUCAAACUGGUGGAACACGAUCGGUUGGGAGACGGCUGAUGCUGGUGCUGGGAAAGAUUAAGGGCAAAAGGAGAAGGGUCCGACGGAGGAUGAGAUGGUUGGAUGGCAUCACCAACUCAAUUGACAUGAGUUUGGGUAAACUCCGGGAGUUGGUGAUGGACAGGGAGGCCUGGAGUGCUGCGGUUCCCGGGGUCGCAAAGAGUCGGACACGACUGAGCUACUGAAAUGAACUGAACUGAGGGGGACUGCUGCCGGGUUUAAAUUUUCACAUAAUUUGUGCUCUAUUGAUAGUUACGCUCUAAAGAAUUCAAAUACAAAGUACAUGAGAUUUGAAUAUAUGUUCGUCAAAAUAUACGUUAAAUACGAACAAGAAACAAUGAAAUUAAUUUUACAUAUGCUUUCAAAAUAACUAUUUCUUAGAUUUAAUAUAAAAUUAUUAAGAAUAAAGGGGUGCUCGCUUCGGCAGCACAUAUACUAAAAAUUGGAACGAUACAGAGAAGAUUAGCAUGGCCCCUGCGCAAGGAUGACACGCAAAUUCGUGAAGCGUUCCAUAUUUAAAAAAAAAAGAAAAAGAAAAAAAAAAAGAAUAAAGGGGAGAUUGAAACAUAUCAAAUUUUAAGUCUAUGUUACUUAAAUAA